UACGGAGGGUGCGAGCGUUGUCCGGAAUCACUGGGCGUAAAGGGCGCGUAGGCGGCCUGGCAAGUCGAUGGUGAAAGCCCGAGGCUCAACUUCGGGUCGGCCACUGAUACUGCUGGGCUUGAGUCGACUAGAGGCAGAUGGAAUUCCGGGUGUAGCGGUGGAAUGCGUAGAGAUCCGGAAGAACACCGGUGGCGAAGGCGGUCUGCUGGGGUCGAACUGACGCUGAGGCGCGACAGCGUGGGGAGCAAACAGGAUUAGAUACCCUGGUAGUCCACGCCGUAAACGAUGGGCACUAGGUGCUUGGGGGAGCGACCCCUUGAGUGCCGGCGCUAACGCAUUAAGUGCCCCGCCUGGGGAGUACGGCCGCAAGGCUGAA
rnacentral:rRNA from 1 species